rnacentral:misc_RNA from 1 species
GAAAUGCGAUAAGUAAUGUGAAUUGCAGAAUUCAGUGAAUCAUCGAAUCUUUGAACGCACAUUGCGCCCGCCAGUAUUCUGGCGGGCAUGCCUGUUCGAGCGUCAUUUCAACCAUCAAGCCCCCGGCUUGUGUUGGGGACCUGCGGCUGCCCGCAGGCCCUGAAAAACAGUGGCGGGCUCGCUGUCACACCGAGCGUAGUAGCAUACAUUCUCGCUCAGGGCGUGCUGCGGGUUCCGGCCGUUAAACGACCUUCAUAAACCAAGGUUGACCUCGGAUCAGGUAGGAAGACCCGCUGAACUUAAGC